rnacentral:rRNA from 1 species
AUUGAACGCUGGCGGCAGGCCUAACACAUGCAAGUCGAGCGGAUGAAGGGAGCUUGCUCCUGGAUUCAGCGGCGGACGGGUGAGUAAUGCCUAGGAAUCUGCCUGGUAGUGGGGGAUAACGUCCGGAAACGGGCGCUAAUACCGCAUACGUCCUGAGGGAGAAAGUGGGGGAUCUUCGGACCUCACGCUAUCAGAUGAGCCUAGGUCGGAUUAGCUAGUUGGUGGGGUAAAGGCCUACCAAGGCGACGAUCCGUAACUGGUCUGAGAGGAUGAUCAGUCACACUGGAACUGAGACACGGCCCAGACUCCUACGGGAGGCAGCAGUGGGGAAUAUUGGACAAUGGGCGAAAGCCUGAUCCAGCCAUGCCGCGUGUGGGAAGAAGGUCUUCGGAUUGUAAAGCACUUUAAGUUGGGAGGAAGGGCAGUAAGUUAAUACCUUGCUGUUUUGACGUUACCAACAGAAUAAGCAUCGGCUAACUUCGUG